rnacentral:lncRNA from 1 species
UGCAUUUCCUGACCUUUUCUGGGCCGCGUCCACGGACACGCCCUAGAAAAGGGCGCUCGUUUUUCCCUUUGCAUUUCCUGACCUUUUCUAGGGCGUGUCCGUGGACGCGGCAACGAAAAUGGCGCUCAUUUUCCCUCUUGCAUUUCCCGCGACCUUUUCUAGGCCGUGUCCACGGACGCGGCAACGGAAAAAAAAAUGUGCGUAAUGCUGCGCCAAGGCUCACGGCUCAGCGGCCAGCCGGCUGGCGCAAAAUCUGCGGGCAGCCGGGCCGCGACCGACUCGCUCUCGGACAGGAAUCGAAUCCGCCAACACUGUUUUUCUGAAUCGUGAAUAAAUCUUGC